rnacentral:misc_RNA from 1 species
GAUGAAGAACGCAGCGAAAUGCGAUAAGUAGUGUGAAUUGCAGAAUUCCGUGAAUCAUCGAAUCUUUGAACGCACAUUGCGCCCGCCAGUAUUCUGGCGGGCAUGCCUGUUCGAGCGUCAUUACAACCCUCAGGCCCCCGGGCCUGGCGUUGGGGAUCGGCGGAAGCCCCCUGCGGGCACAACGCCGUCCCCCAAAUACAGUGGCGGUCCCGCCGCAGCUUCCAUUGCGUAGUAGCUAACACCUCGCAACUGGAGAGCGGCGCGGCCACGCCGUAAAACACCCAACUUCUGAAUGUUGACCUCGAAUCAGGUAGGAAUACCCGCUGAACUUAAGCAUAUCAAUAAGCGGAGGA